AGUCAACAUGCCCAGGGGACGUGGAUAACCUCGGGAAACUGAGGAUAAACCACGAUAAGUCACUACUUCUGGAAUGGGUAAUGACUCAAAUCUACAUGGCCCCUGGAUUGGACUGCGGCCGAUCAGGCUGUUGGUGAGGUAAUGGCCCACCAAACCUGUAACCGGUACGGGCUCUGAGAGGAGGAGCCCGGAGAUGGGCACUGAGACAAGGGCCCAGGCCCUAUGGGGCGCAGCAGGCGCGAAACCUCUGCAAUAGGCGAAAGCCUGACAGGGUUACUCUGAGUGAUUUCCGUUAAGGAGAUCUUUUGGCAUCUCUAAAAAUGGUGCAGAAUAAGGGGUGGGCAAGUCUGGUGUCAGCCGCCGCGGUAAUACCAGCACCCCGAGUGGUCGGGACGUUUAUUGGGCCUAAAGCAUCCGUAGCCGGUUCUACAAGUCUUCCGUUAAAUCCACCUGCUUAACAGAUGGGCUGCGGAAGAUACUAUAGAGCUAGGAGGCGGGAGAGGCAAGCGGUACUCGAUGGGUAGGGGUAAAAUCCGUUGAUCCAUUGAAGACCACCAGUGGCGAAGGCGGCUUGCCAGAACGCGCUCGACGGUGAGGGAUGAAAGCUGGGGGAGCAAACCGGAUUAGAUACCCGGGUAGUCCCAGCUGUAAACGAUGCAGACUCGGUGAUGAAUUGGC
rnacentral:rRNA from 1 species